UAUUAAUCCGCACAUGCAUCGGCACGUGCGACCGGGUGCCCCGUCUGUCGUUAGGCGGUGGGGUUGUCGCAUGAGGAUGCAUGGAGGCCCAAC
rnacentral:sRNA from 1 species